rnacentral:rRNA from 1 species
AGAGUUUGAUCCUGGCUCAGGAUGAACGCUAGCGGCAGGCUUAACACAUGCAAGUCGAGGGGCAGCGCGGGGCGGCAACGUCCUGGCGGCGACCGGCGGAAGGGUGCGUAACGCGUGAGCGACAUGCCCGUUGCCCGGGGACAACCGGUGGAAACGCCGACUAAUCCCCGAUGGGAUAUUGUGCCGCAUGGCACGAUAUUGAAAGUUACGGCGGCGACGGAUUGGCUCGCGUCCGAUUAGCUUGUUGGCGGGGUAACGGCCCACCAAGGCUGCGAUCGGUAGGGGUUCUGAGAGGAAGGCCCCCCACAAUGGGACUGAGACACGGCCCAUACUCCUACGGGAGGCAGCAGUGAGGAAUAUUGGUCAAUGGGCGGAAGCCUGAACCAGCCAUGCCGCGUGCGGGAAGGAGGCCCUAUGGGCUGUGAACCGCUUUUGCCUGGGGGCAAUAAGGGCGUCGCGCACGUCCGAUGAGAGUACCAGGCGAAUAAGCAUCGGCUAACUCCGUGCCAGCAGCCGCGGUAAUACGGGGGAUGCGAGCGUUAUCCGGAUUCAUUGGGUUUAAAGGGUGCGUAGGCUGUGCGUCAAGUCGGGGGUGAAAUUCCGGUGCUCAACACCGGGGCUGCCCUUGAUACUGUCGCGCUGGAGUGCGGAUGCCGCCGGAGGAAUGAGUGGUGUAGCGGUGAAAUGCUUAGAUAUCACUCAGAACACCGAUUGCGAAGGCAUCUGGCGAAUCCGUAACUGACGCUGAGGCACGAAAGCGUGGGGAUAGAACAGGAUUAGAUACCCUGGUAUUCCACGCCGUAAACGAUGAUGGCUAACCGCCGGCGACACACUGUCGGUGGCCAAGCGAAAGCGAUAAGCCAUCCACCUGGGGAGUACGUCGGCAACGAUGAAACUCAAAGGAAUUGACGGGGGCCCGCACAAGCGGAGGAACAUGUG